GGAAGCCCCGUCGUCCACGACGGCGCCGCCGCCAUGUUGUUGGGUGCCGGGCUCGGGCUGGGCCGCCUCCACAGCGGCAGGCAGCCCCUGCGUUUCCAUCUUGGGGGUCCCUGUAGCAGCGGCUGAAACCGGAGCCACGGGGCGGAGCCGACCGUGCGAUUGGAAAAACCCGGAGUGUGGAUCGUUGCUAGACGGAGAGGAGCUGGGAUUGCGCAACAGCAUAGAAAACCCGGAGGCCGGCGUUCUCGGUGGAGUCACGUAGAUAGCGGAGAGGGAUUCCCUUUUGAAUUUUCCUCCUUGGGCACCCAAAAUACUAUGGGCCACCUCUGAAAAAGGCAACCACUUGGGAAUAUUACUGGAGAUUCUUGAGCAAUACAUAAACUUAAGAAGAAGUCAUGAAGCAAGAGCUCCAGCCUCUGAUCACAAGACACUUCCGGUGCCUGGCCUUGUAUCCUGAGACUACAACCUGGACUUGCCUCUGCACCUUGCCCUUGGACUCUGGACUCUGUCUCAUCUCACGUUCUGCAGCCCUGGUCCCAGUGCCUCGCCUUGUAUCCUGCAACCCACAUGCCACCUCCUUACACAGGGGCCGGAUUCAUUUUCAGUGAAACUCUGGGGAGCCAUUCUCCAGUGGUUGCCACAGCCCAAUAUCCAGACAGAUGAGCACAGGUUGGGGUGGAGCUCCGGCUGAAAUAUGUAACUGCUGUAGCCACCUGCCAUCGCUCCCCCUCCAGUCCUCAAUUUGCAUGGUAUGUUCACUGCACCUUUAUUUAUUUAUUUUUCGAUUUAUAUCCUGCCUUUUUACUACAAAGGGCUCAAGACGGCUUACAUCAUUCUCCUCCU